UACGUAGGGUGCAAGCGUUGUCCGGAAUUAUUGGGCGUAAAGAGCUCGUAGGCGGUUUGUCGCGUCUGCUGUGAAAACUCGGGGCUUAACCCCGGGCCUGCAGCGGGUACGGGCAGACUAGAGUGCGGUAGGGGAGACUGGAAUUCCUGGUGUAGCGGUGAAAUGCGCAGAUAUCAGGAGGAAUACCGGUGGUGUAGCCGGCUCUCUGGACCGCCACUGACGCUGAGACACGAAAGCGUGGGUAGCAAACAGG
rnacentral:rRNA from 1 species